rnacentral:rRNA from 1 species
UACAGAGGUCUCAAGCGUUGUUCGGAUUCAUUGGGCGUAAAGGGUGCGUAGGCGGCGCGGUAAGUCGGGUGUGAAAUCUCGGGGGCUUAACUCCGAAACUGCAUUCGAUACUGGCGUGCUUGAGGACUGGAGAGGAGACUGGAAUUUACGGUGUAGCGGUGAAAUGCGUAGAUAUCGUAAGGAAGACCAGUGGCGAAGGCGGGUCUCUGGACAGUUCCUGACGCUGAGGCACGAAGGUCAGGGAGCAAACGGG